rnacentral:rRNA from 1 species
CCUACGGGCGGCAGCAGUAGGGAAUAUUGCUCAAUGGGGGAAACCAUGAAGCAGCAACGCCGCGUGGAGGAUGAAGGUUUUCGGAUUGUAAACUCCUUUUGUUAGAGAAGAUAAUGACGGUAUCUAACGAAUAAGCACCGGCUAACUCCGUGCCAGCAGCCGCGGUAAUACGGAGGGUGCAAGCGUUACUCGGAAUCACUGGGCGUAAAGGGCGCGUAGGCGGGAUAGCAAGUCAGAUGUGAAAUCCUAUGGCUUAACCAUAGUACUGCAUUUGAAACUGGUAUUCUAGAGUAUGGGAGAGGUAGGUGGAAUUCUUGGUGUAGGGGUAAAAUCCGUAGAGAUCAAGAGGAAUACUCAUGGCGAAGGCGACCUGCUAGAACAUAACUGACGCUGAUGCGCGAAAGCGUGGGGAGCAAACAGGAUUAGAUACCCCAGUAGGC